AGAGUUUGAUCCUGGCUCAGGACGAACGCUGGCGGCGCGCCUAACACAUGCAAGUCGAACGAGCGAGAGAGAGCUUGCUUUCUCGAGCGAGUGGCGAACGGGUGAGUAACGCGUGAGGAACCUGCCUCAAAGAGGGGGACAACAGUUGGAAACGACUGCUAAUACCGCAUAAGCCCACGGGUCGGCAUCGACCAGAGGGAAAAGGAGCAAUCCGCUUUGAGAUGGCCUCGCGUCCGAUUAGCUGGUUGGUGAGGUAAUGGCCCACCAAGGCAACGAUCGGUAGCCGGACUGAGAGGUUGAACGGCCACAUUGGGACUGAGACACGGCCCAGACUCCUACGGGAGGCAGCAGUGGGGAAUAUUGCACAAUGGGGGAAACCCUGAUGCAGCGACGCCGCGUGGAGGAAGAAGGUCUUCGGAUUGUAAACUCCUGUUGUUGAGGAAGAUAAUGACGGUACUCAACAAGGAAGUGACGGCUAACUACGUGCCAGCAGCCGCGGUAAAACGUAGGUCACAAGCGUUGUCCGGAAUUACUGGGUGUAAAGGGAGCGCAGGCGGGAAGACAAGUUGGAAGUGAAAUCCAUGGGCUCAACCCAUGAACUGCUUUCAAAACUGUUUUUCUUGAGUAGUGCAGAGGUAGGCGGAAUUCCCGGUGUAGCGGUGGGAUGCGUAGAUAUCGGGAGGAACACCAGUGGCGAAGGCGGCCUACUGGGCACCAACUGACGCUGAGGCUCGAAAGUGUGGGUAGCAAACAGGAUUAGAUACCCUGGUAGUCCACACCGUAAACGAUGAUUACUAGGUGUUGGAGGAUUGACCCCUUCAGUGCCGCAGUUAACACAAUAAGUAAUCCACCUGGGGAGUACGACCGCAAGGUUGAAACUCAAAGGAAUUGACGGGGGCCCGCACAAGCAGUGGAGUAUGUGGUUUAAUUCGACGCAACGCGAAGAACCUUACCAAGUCUUGACAUCCUGUGACAGACGUAGAAAUACGUUCUUCCUUCGGGACACAGAGACAGGUGGUGCAUGGUUGUCGUCAGCUCGUGUCGUGAGAUGUUGGGUUAAGUCCCGCAACGAGCGCAACCCUUAUGGUCAGUUACUACGCAAGAGGACUCUGGCCAGACUGCCGUUGACAAAACGGAGGAAGGUGGGGAUGACGUCAAAUCAUCAUGCCCUUUAUGACUUGGGCUACACACGUACUACAAUGGCGUUAAACAAAGAGAAGCAAGACCGCGAGGUGGAGCAAAACUCAGAAAUAACGUCCCAGUUCGGACUGCAGGCUGCAACUCGCCUGCACGAAGUCGGAAUUGCUAGUAAUCGUGGAUCAGCAUGCCACGGUGAAUACGUUCCCGGGCCUUGCACUCACCGCCCGUCA
rnacentral:rRNA from 1 species